rnacentral:rRNA from 1 species
GCAUUAUUUUGACGUUUACCUACUAGAAGAAGCACCGGCUAACUCCGUGCCAGCAGCCGCGGUAAUACGGAGGGUGCGAGCGUUAAUCGGAAUUACUGGGCGUAAAGCGCAUGCAGGCGGCCUGUUAAGUCAGAUGUGAAAGCCCGGGGCUUAACCUCGGAAUUGCAUUUGAAACUGGCAGGCUAGAGUCUUGUAGAGGGGGUAGAAUUUUCAGGUGUAGCGGUGAAAUGCGUAGAGAUCUGAAGGAAUACCAGUGGCGAAGGCGGCCCCCUGGACAGAUACUGACACUCAGAUGCGAAAGCGUGGGGAGCAAACAGGAUUAGAUACCCCUUGUAG